UGAUAGUUCAUAUCCAUUCGCUUUUCUUUAAAGAAGGAACUAUAUCAUGUUUGGUUUUAAUCCAAUUGGUACCAAUAGGAGCAGAUCUUUCAUAGAGACAAAGCAACAAAAUCUGACAAAAAUUCCACUUACAUGACAAGCGAACUUACUUAAUUAAUAUAUGAAAUUAGGUAAGUGAAAUACAGGUAAUAGUAAGUCGUUUUCAGAUCAAAUAAAAAAGUAAAGGUAAAAAUGUAGUUGCAUUACUACAGUAAACAGUAAAAGUCUGGGUAUGAUGACAUUUUUAACUAUCUAAAUACACAAGAUUACCGCAUUGGAGCAAGUGACAAUUCAAAAUGAAAAAUAAGAAACAUGAAUCAUAGUAUAACAGGAUACAGGAACAAAAUCAAUUUCAACAGCUGGAUAGUAUUUACCUGUGAAAUUUACUCUGGACACCCUGAUGUCAACACUGUGAACAAGCCAUUUAUACCUGUAGGAAUACUAACAACACCAUCAGAUAAUAUCAUUGUUAUAGAUAUGAACAAUCAUUCAUUACAUAUACUGACUGACCAAGGACAAAGUAUACACUACUACAAUCUCUAUGUCAUGGGGAUCUUACAUCCAUACUCUCUUGUUCUGUCUACAACAGGAACUAUCUUUAUAUGAUGUGUUAGUGAGAAAGAAAGUCCAAACACUACAAAAGGCAAAACUUUAUGAGUUAAACUAUUAUGGAUUCUAAAGGUUUCCCUUGCUUCGUCUUCAUCAGGAACUAUUUAUAAAAGAUGUACUAAUUAAUGCAAAUGGAAAUUUAGACGCUACAAGGCCAAACUUUAUAAGAUGGAAUAUUCUGGAUUUAGUGAUUUUUUUACAUGCUUUCUACAUGUUAUAUACAACAAUAACUUUCGAAAUAGGAUGUUAGCUAAGAAGAUUCUUAAAAGAUAGGAUGCGUUGGUUAGAUUGCAGUCCAGAAACUUCACAGACCAAACUUUAUGAGUUGAAAUUAAUUCUGGAUUCUAGUGAUUUCCCUUGUAUAUAAGGACCUAUCUAUUAUUUAAGGUGUUGAUGAAAGCAUAAGUUUGAAAAGAAUGGAUUCUCAUGAUUCUUAAAUUUGAUUUAGAAAUUAAUCUAAAAAUGGAAUAUUUUGAAACAAAAGUCAGAAUAAU